rnacentral:tRNA from 1 species
GCCUUCGUGGUGUAGCGGUCAGCACGCUCGACGAGUAACCGAGAGGUCCGUGGUUCAAUUCCCGGCGAAGGCG